UACGGGGGGAGCAAGCGGUUGUUCGGAUUUACUGGGCGUAAAGGGCGCGUAGGCGGCCACUGCAAGUCGGUUGUGAAAUCUCCGGGCUUAACCCGGAAAGGUCAGCCGAUACUGCAGGGCUAGAGUGCAGGAAGGGGCAACUGGAAUUCUCGGUGUAGCGGUGAAAUGCGUAGAUAUCGAGAGGAACACCUGCGGCGAAGGCGGGUUGCUGGGCUGACACUGACGCUGACAGCGCGAAAGCUAGGGGAGCGAACGGG
rnacentral:rRNA from 1 species